GGCCUCCUGGUGCUUACCACAGGCUGUGUGCUUACACUGACUGUACAGAAAUAGGAGGCAGAGUAAACUCACUCAUUUCUGUUUUAUACAGUGGGAUUCUCCAUGGGGUUAUUUUAAGAGACACUG
rnacentral:snoRNA from 1 species